UACGAAGGCGUCUAGCGUUAUCCGGAUUUAUUGGGCGUAAAGAGUGCGUAGGAGGUUUCUUAAGUUUAAUGUUAAAUUUCGGGGCUCAACCUCGAAGCCGCAUUGAAUACUGAGAGACUAGAGUACGGGAGAGGCUGAUAGAACUCACGGUGUAGGGGUGAAAUCCGUUGAUAUCGUGGGGAAUACCAAAGGCGAAGGCAUUCAGCUGGCCCGUUACUGACUCUCAUUGCACGAAAGCGUGGGGAGCAAAAAGG
rnacentral:rRNA from 1 species